UGGGGAAUAUUGGACAAUGGGCGCAAGCCUGAUCCAGCCAUGCCGCGUGAGUGAUGAAGGCCUUAGGGUUGUAAAGCUCUUUCGCACGCGAAGAUAAUGACGGUAGCGUGAGAAGAAGCCCCGGCUAACUUCGUGCCAGCAGCCGCGGUAAUACGAAGGGGGCUAGCGUUGUUCGGAAUCACUGGGCGUAAAGCGUACGUAGGCGGAUCGUUAAGUCGGGGGUGAAAUCCUGGAGCUCAACUCCAGAACUGCCUCCGAUACUGGCGGUCUUCGAGUCCGGGAGAGGUGAGUGGAACUCCUAGUGUAGAGGUGAAAUUCGUAGAUAUUAGGAAGAACACCAGUGGCGAAGGCGGCUCACUGGCCCGGUACUGACGCUGAGGUACGAAAGCGUGGGGAGCAAACAGGAUUAGAUACCCCCGUAGUCC
rnacentral:rRNA from 1 species